rnacentral:misc_RNA from 1 species
GGUUAGUAUUUUAGUUAGUAGGCUAGCUUAAAGGCGCUUCUCUAAGUGUUUAAUAUCCUAUUUUCGGUAGUUAAAGCGUGUCUACUAUCU